rnacentral:rRNA from 1 species
GCAGUAGCCGCGGGAAUACGUAGGGUGCAAGCGUUAAUCGGAAUUACUGGGCGUAAAGCGUGCGCAGGCGGUUUUGUAAGUCUGUCGUGAAAUCCCCGGGCUCAACCUGGGAAUGGCGAUGGAGACUGCAAGGCUAGAAUCUGGCAGAGGGGGGUAGAAUUCCACGUGUAGCAGUGAAAUGCGUAGAUAUGUGGAGGAACACCGAUGGCGAAGGCAGCCCCCUGGGCUAAGAUUGACGCUCAUGCACGAAAGCGUGGGGAGCAAACAGGAUUAGAGACCCCCGUAGUCCCUGUCUCUUAUAC